GCGAGCUGUGCGUCUGACAGCGCAGGUCCAGCAGCGUGGGCCCCAGGAAGGCGAUGCACAGGCCGAAGCUGAAGAAGACGCUCCAGUAGUUGGUUGAAUUUACAAAUGCAGAACCCACAGAGACAGGGGGCCAACUGUGCAGCAGUGAGGGUCUGGCUCUGUAACCCAGGCUUGAAUGCAGUGGCAUGAUGGGUGCAAUCUUGUUACCUGUUACUGGUCUCUUCAGGUUUUCUUUUUGGCUCAAUCUUGAGAUGGAGGCUCGUUUUGUUGCCCAGGCUGGAGUGCAGUG
rnacentral:lncRNA from 1 species